GGAAAGAGGAGGAGGGAGGAGGAAGCCUGUGAGAAUAAACUGCUGGUUUACAGGAAUCAGGGAGAGCAGCUCCAUUGUUUUGCUUCUUACUUUGACUUUCACUCUCUGGUCUCACAAUGCAGUGUGUUAUCAGGACUAUAUAAGACGUGAGUCAAAGUACUGCAGACAUCAGAAGAGACUCGACUUCAACCAAGAACCAACAUGUCCUGCAGCAAAUCUCAGCAUGACACACACCAUACCAUCAAACAUCAGUGAUUGCUAGAACCUUCAUCAUUAUGUGUUCUAUUCAUGUGUUUUAACUCUAGUCUUCAGUCCAAUAGCAUUUGCCACAAUUACAUCAUCUUUUACUGUUAGCACAUCGUACCCAAAAAAUAUUACAUGACACAAUCCAACAGAACAACUUUGAAACCUCUCGAAUCCUUAUAUAAAGCCAUAAAAAUUCUGGUUAAGACACAACAGUAAAUGACAGCAACCACCGUCGUAUAUUGGAUCAGCAUGGGAUGCUAAAUUUUGAAAACAUGAUUGUGUAUGCAAAUGUACGAUUGGUUUUCAAGGAUGUUCAUGGUUAUGUGCCAUCACCUCUCAAGUUCUUUAUUCAUUGCACUUAUGGAAGUACUACCAGGACAACAAGGACUUCCUCUAGCUGGCAGUGUGGCAUCCCUUUAUGUAAAACUGCCUUUGGACAAUCAGCUUUUCCCUACAAAGCAAUAACGGAAUGGAAUAAGCUCCCCUCUGAACUAAAGACUUGAACAGAUUUAAAGACUUUUGGGCAGAGACAAAAAAAAUGGAACCCGUCAGCACUGAGUCCUUGCAUGUUUGUUUUUUUUAUCUUUAGAUGUUUUUAAAUGUGAUGUACAUUUUUUCUGCCUUUUCUGGUUUCUCUCUUGCCUGCUUCAAACACUGUAAAUUAGAGAGUACGUUAUAAUCAGGUACAGAACAUCUUUACCUUGUGUUUAAUGUUCUUUGAUCAUUAAUAAAGUUACUGGAGAUACAGAACCAGAUGGUUCUGAGGAGGUUUUAGGGGGAACUGAUUGAUUUUUAUUUGAAAGCUGCAGACAACGUUCACGCUGCUCCUGAUAUCUUGAAUUAAACGUGAUUCAUUAAAAAGUACUGUGUGUGUGUUCUGGUACGUUAUUAAAAUAAACAUAACA
ensembl:lncRNA